GACUGCUCUGGUGGCCUAGUGGUUAGAGCAUCUGACUCGGAUGCAGAAGGUUGUGGGUUUGAUCCUUGGCCGAGUUA